AAUGUCAAGAUAACUUUUCAUAAGUUGACAAUCUGAUCUUAAAGUUGAAAUAAAAUAAGUGCAUGAGAAUACUCAGGAAAACCCUGGGGUGGAAAAUAGAAGAGUUGGAGGGACAAGCCUCGUCGGCCACUGUAAAGUGUGAAGCCCUUCCCACUGGGCAGCAAUGAAGAGUGCCCUUUGUGUCCAGGCACAGGGUCCUGGUGGCGACAUGGCUCGUCAUGGUCCAGAAAGUGCCAUCUUCAGUCCAAGCCCUGGGAACGGAUGUGGUGUCAGUCCCAGUAGGGACCCCAAUGAGCCUGGGAUUCUCACACUCUCAGACUCUCGCAUUACCCUUCGGCCCCUCACGAAUCUACCUACUUCGGGGUGCAUUUCUAAACAGGUGACUUGCAGCACACAGACCUCAUUCCCGUGGGACCCUCCUAGCAAUACCUACAUUGAUGAAAAAAUCACUUCCCUAUUGAUUUCCUAGACCAAGAAAAUUGAAGGGAAGAGUAAUGACAGUAUUUUGUGGGGACAGUGAUCGACUGUAACACUUCUUACUCCUUAGCCUCCCAAUGAAUUUUUUAUUACUAAACUUUAUUUUUAGAACAGUUUUAGUUUUAUAAGAAAAUUGAGCAGAAAGGAUGCAGAGUUGGCAUCUGCCCUCUCUCCCACCCCAUGCCCUGCCCCACCUGAAUUCCUCCAUUACUAACAUCUUGAAUUAUUGGGGUAUGUGGAUGAUCUUUUCAACAUUAAAGCUAGACA
rnacentral:lncRNA from 1 species